rnacentral:rRNA from 1 species
CAAUAGCGUAUAUUUAAGUUGUUGCAGUUAAAAAGCUCGUAGUUGGAUUUUGGGUCGGGGGCACCGGUCCGCCGUUCCGGUGUGCACUGGUGGCCCCUUCCUUUCUGCCGGGGACGUGCGUCGCACUUAAUUGGGUGGCGUUCGGAGUCGGCGUUGUUACUUUGAAAAAAUUAGAGUGUUCAAAGCAAGCCAUCGCUCUGAAUACAUUAGCAUGGAAUAACAUGAUAGGACUCCGGUCUUAUUUUGUUGGUUUCCGAGACUGGAGUAAUGAUUAAGAGGGACAGUCGGGGGCAUCCGUAUUUCAUUGUCAGAGGUGAAAUUCUUGGAUUUAUGAAAGACGAACUUCUGCGAAAGCACUUGCCAAGGAUGUUUUCAUUAA